GAGAUUGAAAUCAUUUCCAGGGACAGUGUCAAACCGUCUUCCCCAACCCCAUGUCACUUGAGAACCUACAAGCUUUCCCUUCUGGAUCAGCUUAUGCCUUCUACACAUGUUCCAAUCAUCUUUUUCUAUAGGCCCAUUGAUCAAUCUGAAAUUUCUGCAAGAUUACAACGGUUGAAGCAGUCUCUGUCUGAGGCCUUAACUUUCUUUUACCUAUUUGCCGGAAAGGUCAAGAAUGAACUCUACAUAGAUUGCAACGACGAUGGCGUUUCUUACACCGAGGCCAAGGUCGGUUGUUGUCUCUCAGACAUUCUUGGACAUCCUGAGAGCGAAAAGAUAUCUAAGUUACUUCCUGGAGAUUUCUACUUGGAAUCAUCAGGUAAUUCAGGAAUUGGAAUUCCUGUGGCAAUGAUUCAAGUUAAUGUUUUAAAGUGCGGUGGCAUUGUCAUUGGAACUAAAACUUCACACAAGAUCAUCGAUGGUCCAACAUCUACUGCCUUUCUCAAAGCAUGGGCAACCAUAGCUCGUGGAUCAAGUGAAGUAGUUGUGAAACCUAGUUUCACUGCCCCUUCUAUAUUCCCACAAAACAUUUCGCUGCCUGAAGAUACAAUGUUGGCUAUAUGGCCUUCCUUGAUAAAAUUUGGCAAGGGUUUCAUGAAAAGAUUUGUGUUUGAUGCUUCAGCUGUAGCCACUCUCAAGGCACGAGCAGCUAGCUCCACAUUUGUGCAGCACCCAACUCGAGUGGAGGCUGUUUCAGCCUUCAUCUGGCAGUGCACGAUUCUUGCUUCUAAAGCAAGACAUGGUUCCCAGAGACCUUCUGUUCUGUCCCAUAUUGUGAACUUGAGGGGAAAAAAGUCCACCCACUUGCCUGAAUAUUCAGUUGGCAAUCUUCUCUGGAUGUCAAUUGCAAAAUGCAGUGCAGAGGCUGAGAGAGAAUUGCCUCUUUUGGUGGGUGUCCUAAGGGAAUCCAUAUUGCAAAUUGAUGGUAAUUUUGUCCAAAAAUUAAGUGGUGAAGAAGGGUUUUCUAAAGUUUGCGAGUGUCUACGAGAGUUUGGCGAAGUGUAUUCUAAUGCAGGAACUGAUUACUUAACAUGUAGCAGUUUAUGCAAGGUUGGGAUCUACGAAACUGAUUUUGGGUGGGGAAAGCCUAUUUGGGUGAGUCCUGGUGGGAUAAAUGGACCAGUGUUUCAAAAUCUAUUGUUUUUGAAUGAAACAAGUGUUGGUGAUGGAAUUGAAGCAUGGGUGACCUUGGAUGAACAAGAAAUGGUCAUUUUGGAACGUGAGACACAGAUCCUAGAAUUUGCUUCUUUAGACCCAAGUCCCCUUCAAUUAUGUAAGUACUAAUCUGUUCUUGUUCGAUCUACUUUAGUCCUGAAUUUGGUUCGCCUUUCCUCCAAGAAUAUUUCUUUUGAAACAUUUCCCCCGAGACAGAUCCUAGAACAUAGAUGUUCAUAUAAUUCCCACUUUUGUGUAAACUCUAAUCAAUCCAAAGAAUUGGAAAAACUAAAAAGGAAUUUGACUUGGGGAUUGACUUGCUAUUGAGUUCCUGAAGAGAAGAGAAUUUGUUUCUGUCCGCAUUCAAGAGCGUAUCUCCUCUCCCACACACUUUCAGACACAGUAAAAUUCAAGCAAGGAUGAGAAUUUCGAACUAAUAAGUUUUAAU
rnacentral:misc_RNA from 1 species